GGAUUCCUGGCUGGAUGUUGCUUCCACAAUUUUGCAACCUGGGCUGUCACCUCCAGUGUGAAGGGGAAGCUGUGGGAGCCACCAUUACUAAAAGGUUUAUGGAGUUUCAUGUUCUUGGGAAAUCUGUGCUUCCCAGGAGCUCCCCAGCACCCAACACCUCAGCAUUUCUAUAGAAGAUUUCUGAAACAGAAUGCUUCAGAAAUUGACCAGUAGCACCGAUGUACAAUCUUGAUCGCAUGGGCCAUUUCUGAAAAAGAUUAUUUCAGCAAGAAUUCAAAAAGAAGGACUGAAAAAAAAAAUACAACUCCUAAAGGUCAGCAAUCUGGUCCCACACUCUCCAGGGAGCAAGUGCUGCCUUAUGUAAGCAGGUUACCUAUCUUCAUCAGCG